AAGCAAUUUGCUCAUAGCCAUAGCUUUCUUGUGAAAGUAGGAUAUUAACCCAGGUGUCUUGGUGCUGGAGAACAGAACUGGCCAGAGUCCAUCCUGUCUCCCACCGGCAUCCCAUUACGAAAUGAACACAGAAAAGGCAGGUCUGCAAUGCCAACAUCUAGUAUCUAUCCCAAAGACCAGGGAGAAAGGAAGGAAAGAUUCUGGUUCUGUCCUCUUCCCCAAGGCAAGGCUGGCUGCCCUACCAACAGAGGCAAAGAGAAGAGUGUGCAAGGCUGGCUGCCCUCCCAACAGAGGCAAAGAGGAGUGUGUGUUGAAAUAUCCAUUGAAUCCCUGAGACAACUGGAUCCUGGCCCAUUGAAUCAUAAACUCAAAUCUCACAUCAUAACCCCAAAUGACCUGUUACUCACCAUGUGGCCCAGCUGUCUUCAAACUCACCAGCCUCCUGCCUUAGCCUUCUAAAUGCUUGGAUUACAGGCAUGACCCACCAUAACUGGCUUUGUUUUAGUUUCAGAGAAGAUGAAACUGAUGUGCGUCAAAAAGUAAACUACCCACAUUUUAACUGGGCACAUUCCUGUCAAUCUGAUGAGAAUCUAUUUCAUACCCUGCUUUAGCUGGUAGUCUGUCAAGGAAAUGAGCUGAACAUGUCUGUGUACAGCUUUUGUGCCAUCCCUGGAUGAGCGAGCUGUCUGCCUCUAUGUUCUCCACAAAAUGGAAUAUAGCUGUACACCCAAGCCAAGUUAUGGAGGCUGGGAAGACCUAGAAUGUGGCAUCACUAUUUGCUGAAAUUUUUAAUAUAAUGCCUCUUAGCCUGGUUUGGAGAAAACGUCACAGAGAGGCACCAUUUGUUGUGGUUUUACAUGAAAAUUUUCUGACCCUGAACCUGGUUUGAUGGAAAUCAUUUGCUGAGGUAAUUAUCUCAAAUUAACUACCAAGCUGAUGAAUCGCUUACUACUUAAAAGCUGUGAUGGGGAGAGGAGUAAUUGAGAGCGGCCUUGUUGGGAGGGGAUGUGGACAUUUUUUUUUUCAGCAGCCAAUCAACUUAGAGGUUUUUUUUUGUUUUGUUUUGUUUUGUUUUUGUCUUGUUUUUUUUUCUGUGUAGAAUCUGAAUGUAUUGUCACAAGGUGAACACCAG
rnacentral:lncRNA from 1 species